ACUCAAAUGAAUAGACGGGGGCCCGCACAAGCAGCGGAGCAUGUGGUUUAAUUCGACGCAACGCGAAGAACCUUACCUGGGCUUGACAUGUUCGUCAUACCCGUGGAAACACGGGGUCAGUUCGGCUGGACGAUCACAGGUGGUGCAUGGCUGUCGUCAGCUCGUGUCGUGAGAUGUUGGGUUAAGUCCCGCAACGAGCGCAACCCCCGUCGUAUGUUGCCAGCAUUUAGUUGGGGACUCAUGCGAGACUGCCGGUGACAAACCGGAGGAAGGUGGGGAUGACGUCAAGUCAUCAUGCCCCUUAUGUCCAGGGCUACACACGUGCUACAUUGGCGCGUACAGAGGGCUGCGAUACCGUGAGGUGGAGCGAAUCCCUUAAAGCGCGUCUCGGUUCGGAUUGUAGGCUGAAACUCGCCUACAUGAAGGCGGAGUUGCUAGUAAUCGCGGAUCAGCAUUGCCGCGGUGAAUACGUUCCCGGGCCUUGCACACACCGCCCGU
rnacentral:rRNA from 1 species